rnacentral:rRNA from 1 species
GAUGAACGCUAGCUACAUGCUUAACACAUGCAAGUCGAGGGACCGGCGCACGGGUGAGUAACACGUAACCAACCUGCCCUUUAGUCGGGGACAGCCUUUCGAAAGAAAGAUUAAUACCCGAUAUAAAGGAUGGGGAUGCGUUCCAUUAGGUUGUUGGUGAGGUGACGGCUCACCAAGCCUUGGAUGGAUAGGGGGUCUGAGAGGAAGGUCCCCGACAGUGGAACUGGGCCCCGUUCCAAACUCCUACGGGAGGCAGCAGUGAGGAAUAGUGGUCAGUGGGCUCUAGCCUGAAACGGCCAAGUAGCGUGAAGGAUGACGGCUUAUGGAUCGUAGUCUUCUUUUAUAUAAGAAUAUGUAUUAUAUUAAUAAGGAUCGGCUAACUCCGUGCCAGCAGCCGCGGUAAUAC